UGGUAUGGACUAGUGGUUAGAGCGUCCGCCUCCGGUGCGGGAGGUCGUGGGUUUGAUCCCCGGCUGAGUAAUACCAAAG